CUGAGGACAGUGUUCUGGGGUGCUGAUCUUCUAUACUGUCUUCAGUCUUGAGUCAUUUUUGGAGGGUGACACAAUAUUCCAUUGGCAGCCUAUCUCCCUAAAAACAUGCGUGCACCCACCAGUUACUGCGGGGUGUAGAAGAGCAAUUGUUAGUGCCUCAGCUGCCUCUUCCCCUGAGCUGCUCAGGAUGCUUUGUUCUGCAGGAGCUCUGUGAAGUCGGAAGGAUUCCCACACCCGGCACGGCUGCAAAGGUAUUGAUCUACAUCUCCUGGGAGAAGCCAAACUUGUUCGUUUUGGGAUGCAUCUCAUACCAGGAGGCGGUAGCCAAAUUGGAGGGGCUACAAAGAACAGCUGCAGUGACUGAGAUGAGAGAAUUCGGUGAUGACAGAAGAUUACAAGAAUUAAAGCUAUGCCUUGAGUGAGCUCGGCUGCUCCAUAGGAGGAAUGUUAAAAGUACUACAUUAAAAUGAAGCUGAUACGUAUGUUCCCUAAUUUGUAUUCAUGUCCAGAUCUGCAGUGACCAGCCCUUGAGCUGCUCCUUGAGCUGCUCCACGGCAGCAUCCACGGCGGGGUGGUGUGUGCAGCAGACAGACUCCAUGCACCGAGAGGCCGACGAUCUAAUAUGACUCAUGAGGAAUCUUUGAAGGAGGCUGACUUCUGUCUGGCUCGUGGCGUGAAAACCAUCAACGCGACUGUUCCCGCUGUGAGUGCUCGCAGCUCAGCAUUGAGUGGACAAAAACACUGAGCUACCUUCGGAGCGAAGAUUUGGGCAGGAAAGCAGACAGCUGGCAGCUGCAUACCUUCGCUUUAUUUUGAAGGCUUUGAGGCUUCACCACUCCCCUGCUGACCAACUCCCUGCUUUGGCACAAGAAAGCUCUUAGCAAAACUUGGCUUUUUCACGAAAAAGCACAAAGUAUGGGCUGUGUGCGCUCUGCUCGGUCUGAGCACAGCUGCAGCAGGGAGGAAGGGAGGAAAGAAAAGACCUUUUGCAAUGGAGCAAAGCAAGGGAGUGCCCUAGAGCGGGGGGGACAGAAGCUCCCUGCUUGCAUGCAGCACUAUUCCCAGGAGGUGACUGGAAUCCCAACAAUUAAAUCAACAAGGAUGCGUUGGGGAAAACCCCUGUGAUGGCGUCUGAGGAUGGUUUAUUAAAUAACAUGCAGUGUGGCGAGCCCACGUGGAACAAAAGGCUGUGUGGCUGAGCCUGACGACUUGCUGUGUCCUGGGGAAAAAGAGCUCAGUGGUUUUAUUAAACACAUGUAAGUAAAUACCUGAGGAAGGAAAAGCUUUCUGCAGACGCAGACUCGGCUGCACGGCCCAUACAGCUCCCAGCUUUUGCACUUGGAGCGUGCAGCAUCCUCGGAUCCCAUCCCAACCUCUGGUGCUGGUGUGGCAGGAGAGGUAGUAGCUUCCCUAUAAGCAAAACCCUGCUCCGACAGCGGCGGCGACAGCAAAUAUCGCCCAGGGAAUGAUCAUUUCCAUGGCAGCGUGUUGCAACAUGGCGAACAGACGGUGGAUACGCGGCGAGCAGCACACGCAGUUGCUUAAUAAAAAAAAAGCCAGCCCGGGCCAGGGCUGGGCAGGCUGCAAGCUCCGGCUGCAGUCGCUAGCGGUGGGGAGAUGUGAGCACUGCUCAGGCUGCUGAAGGUCUGCCUUGGAAGAGAGACGCAGGGGGAUUUGCAAAGCAAAACUGCUCUCAAGGGCUGGCCUUGCAUUAGAUUUUCCUCUCUGAGCAAACAACCCUGCUCCUUCCCUGGCGCACUGACCACGUUCAGCUGGACGGGAUUUGUUUUGUGCCCCAGUCGCUGUUCAGAUUUCAAUCCUGCCAGCCCCAGGAGUCUUUCUGGGGUGGGGCUGUGUUUCUCUGGCUGUAGAAAUGACACUGCAUCCCAGAAAAGUGCCACUAGUGGUGUUGUUUAAGCAAUAAUAGGGUUACAGCUAAUAAUUAGGAAGAGAAAGUGACUGGCUUGCACAGUUUCCGAUUACUUUUCUCCUCUCGCUUGUGUGAUCUGAGCUCUCCCUUCAGCAUUCCCCGUUGUGGAGGCAGGGUAGAGUUUUAAAUAGAAUUAAAUCCCUUCAACAUCAGUUUUGCAUCAGCAGAGCUUGUGCUAAAAUGCCUGUGCUGCAUGGGGAAGGUUUGGGAUGUUAGUCUUGCUGAUCACCCCAGCUGGGCGUGGGACAGGUCGUGCUCUGCACACAGCAGGACACCCCUGCUGCAACGCGCUUGCAGCCCUGCGACCGCAGACGAAGGGAAAUACUUGCAAAAAAUUGGUAUUUUGUUGAUGGGCAGCAAAGGAACGGGCUGCGCAGGGCAUUUUGCAGCAGGUUUGGGGACCGAA